rnacentral:rRNA from 1 species
CUAUGCGCCUUGCCAGCCCGCUCAGGUGUGCCAGCCGCCGCGGUAAUACGUAGGUGGCAAGCGUUGUCCGGAUUUACUGGGUGUAAAGGGCGUGUAGCCGGGCUGACAAGUCAGAUGUGAAAUCCGGGGGCUCAACCCCGAACUGCAUUUGAAACUGUUGGUCUUGAGUAUCGGAGAGGCAGGCGGAAUUCCUAGUGUAGCGGUGAAAUGCGUAGAUAUUAGGAGGAACACCAGUGGCGAAGGCGGCCUGCUGGACGAUGACUGACGCUGAGGCUCGAAAGCGUGGGGGAGCAAACAGG